CGUGUGGUGUCCGACAAGAGAUCGGAUGGCGACACGGCCUAUUAUAUUGAGGU
ncrna:Aeromonas finlandensis L31-Gammaproteobacteria ribosomal protein leader